rnacentral:rRNA from 1 species
UAGGGAAUCUUCCACAAUGGACGCAAGUCUGAUGGAGCAACGCCGCGUGAGUGAAGAAGGUUUUUGGAUCGUAAAGCUCUGUUGUUGGUGAAGAAGGAUAGAGGUAGUAACUGGCCUUUAUUUGACGGUAAUCAACCAGAAAGUCACGGCUAACUACGUGCCAGCAGCCGCGGUAAUACGUAGGUGGCAAGCGUUGUCCGGAUUUAUUGGGCGUAAAGCGAGCGCAGGCGGAAGAAUAAGUCUGAUGUGAAAGCCCUCGGCUUAACCGAGGAACUGCAUCGGAAACUGUUUUUCUUGAGUGCAGAAGAGGAGAGUGGAACUCCAUGUGUAGCGGUGGAAUGCGUAGAUAUAUGGAAGAACACCAGUGGCGAAGGCGACUCUCUGGUCUGCAACUGACGCUGAGGCUCGAAAGCAUGGGUAGCGAACAGG